GACAGAGGGUGCAAACGUUGUUCGGAAUUACUGGGCGUAAAGCGCAUGUAGGCGGCAGCGCAAGUCGGGCGUGAAAUCCCACGGCUCAACCGUGGAAGUGCACUCGAAACUGCGCAGCUAGAGUCCUGGAGAGGAAGGUGGAAUGCUUGGUGUAGAGGUGAAAUUCGUAGAUAUCAAGCGGAACACCGGUGGCGAAGGCGGCCUUCUGGACAGUGACUGACGCUGAGAUGCGAAAGCGUGGGGAGCAAACAGG
rnacentral:rRNA from 1 species